GACGCAUCUAUACAGGUGUUACAGAUUGUAGCAAAUAUCCAAAGUCGAUGAAAAUAAUCAACCUUUCAAAGGCCAUUGCAGCACUUGUAGCAAUCUUCCUGACUCUUGCUGUGUUUACCUAUACUUCUGCAUCGCUGCUCCAAGAGAACAAGUCCCUGUGGAUUUCGAGAUGUGGAAUCGGAAGUCGAAAGAUGGCUAUGGAUUGCACAAGCAGAGAAGCUACGCCGGAGCAUGAUAUUUCGUUCGAAAGCCUGAAAAAGAAGCAAUCGCCACCACCACCUCCUGUUGUUAAGAAAAAGAAGCAGCUGAAGACGACAUCUCUGUUCUUUAGAACCCCGCCACGAUUUUAAAUGUCAAAGAUUGGUGGAAGCCAUGGAUAUUUAAAUUUCUCGUAAAAGAAUUAUACAUUUAUACUACGGGACAUCCCCUCAUACUGUAUUUACAUGUAUAGAUGUUAAUGUUAUUGCAUUGUGUAUAGACUUAAUUAA